GGACUGUGAAGUAGUCACUCGUGUUUAAACCUUCCUUGUCCGCUGCUCCUUGGCUGCGUUCAAAAUCCGUGUUUCCUUGGCAGCGGCAUGCGUAGCUUUUGCUCUUCGGACCCUGCGGGCAGGGAGGCUUCAACGGGUCCACGCACGGUGGGACAAGGCCUUGGACCAAGGUUGGUGGAGUGGAUCUGAGCGCAGAUAGACGCUACCUCGCAUCAGUACUGGAUAAACGAUCUGAGUGCAGUGAAAAAGGCGUUGGGUCGUUGGGGGAGUCCAAAGGUUGAGGAGUAAGUGAGGGGUCGUGCCCCUUCCCCCAGUGGCUGCAUGAAAAAUGGAUGUGGAGUUUGUGGCAGCUAAAAAACUGCUUCUUAGCAUUCUUGUUAAAUGAGGCGAAGCAGUCAAGGAAAAGGACCUGGGAAAGCUCGUUGUAUGGGCUAAAAAUCAUGGGUGCUUAACGGUGCCCCCACUGCAAGCAGUUGAAAAAUGGACGGAUAUAAGGGCUUUGAUGUGGGACACAGCAAUCACGGAAAAGAGUAAAGUCGCAGUAGCACUCGGUUCAAUAUGGAAAAUUGUGUUGGCUACCUUAAAAGAUACGAAGUCUGAGUCCAGGGUCACAGCCACCACUUCAGAAGCCAUGGCUGGGCCCAAGACGGACUUGCUGCAGCAGUCAUCUCCUGCCACAUCGAUGGGGGAAAGCACUGAGGUGUGCGCAGAGAACAAAGGCACCCCCGGGGCAGAGGCAGUGCAGAAAAAGCUCCAAGGCCACGCUGAACAAUUACAGAAGCAGUUGAGCAGAAACAGGUGGCUCAGUCAGCUUCAAAGAGAGACAAAAUAGCCAAAAAAUAGUGAACUAUAUGGUAUCUAGUUCAAAAUUCAUCACUGUAAUUAAGAGUUGAUAAGCUGCAAUGGUCACCAUUUUUACCACCUGGCCCUGAGAGGCUUUUCGUGUAACAUUGCCUGUUUUUGUAAAAUCGUGCCCUUUUUCCUCUAUCUGCAAACAACGAGAGAGAUUGAGAGAAAUAACUGCAUAUGUUCAAGUUAACUUUGUGAGGUUUUUUUUUUCUUUCCAUUUUUCCUCUCUGAGAGAGUAUGUGGGGGAUGUGAAGAUAACAGCAGCAGAGAGCAGCAGCAAAGUGGGCAGUUAACUCCCCCUUCUCCCUCUCUAAGAAAAAGCACUGGGAUAGUACCCAGUUUGUGAAAAAGUCAUGAUUCAUUGUUUUAUUUUAAAUGUUUUUAUAUACCCUUUUAGAGUUAAUUUUGUGUUUUAAGUAAUUAUGAGUUUAUGCAGUUGCAGUUUUUAGAAUAUUACUAAAGAAAUUACUGUGAUUCCUUGAAAGUUCAAAAAGACACUUUUUUUAAAGAAGUGUUUAAAGUGAAUACUAACAGAAGUUACCUUGCAAUAAUUAGUGUUAAAACCUAAUGUUAAAAUAUUGUAUGCUUUACAGCUACUAAGAAAACAACCUUUCAAUUAAUGUUAUCUACAAAAGAGAUUUAUGGUUUAAAAAAUAAAUAGCUAAGAGAACUUUACUAUACAAGACAAAGUUAAGUUAAAGCAUAUAUUACCAAUUUGCUUGUUUUUUCCACAAUUUUAAUAAGCUAAUUUCAAUGUGAGUCUUUUUGUUAUAUAAAACAAAAAGACUAAUUUGGAUUUUAGUUAAAAAAUUGGACUUGAUGUUUCUGAAAAGUGCUACAGAAGCUGAAUGGCAACUUGCCAAAUCCUGUGUUGUUUUGGUUUUUCUCUAGAAAAACUACACUUUAAAAUCCUAACCAAUUUAAGCAUAUACUAGGCAAAUUCCUGUUGUGAAUAAGUAUUUUUAAUAGCAUUUGCAAUUAUUGUGAGUUAUUUUAAAGCCAAAUGCCAUAGAACUGUGAUGUAUUAGUUACAUUUUUAUAAUCUUUAUAGUGAAUCCAUGUUAUUGUUAUAUUGUGUUUAAAAGGUAUAUAUCAAACUUUUAGUUGCCUUUUUGUAAUAACAGAAUAAGAUUAAGUUAUGUUUUUAUCUAAUAUACAUUAAAUGUUAAUAGAAUUAAGAAAAGUCAAGUUUCAUUAUUUUUAGGCUUGAGUGUUUUUAAGUUAAGUUUUAUAACUUGGAUAUUUUUUGAGGUUAAGUUUUGUUAUUUUCUUUUGUCACAAUUAAUUUUUAUUAAGUUUAAAUAUUAAUUUAAAUUGUUUUAUGUUUUAUUAGAGGCACUUGUUUAAACUGCAAAGUAUAGUUAUUUUCCUAGAGAGAUGAAGAUGACUACAACUAAAACAGCUGUGAUAGAACACUGAUGAACCUGCAUAUGGGUAGAAGUGAAUGCAGUCUGUGACACCCUUAAUUUCAUUGAGAGUUCUAGUGGUUGUUGCAAUCUCUGCAGCUUUUGUUUUUUAUAGGUUUAUUAUUUUUCAGUGUUUCCAGAAUUCCAAGAAAAUGUAUCAUUGCUGAGGGUCAGCUGCCAUGGGAGAGGCUUCAGAUUAAACCAACUGCUGAAUGGUUUAACUGGUCUGCUAUCUAUGGCUUCUGAUCAUUUGCUUUGUAGAAAUGCAUUUUAAGUUUGCUGUGCUGCAAGCAUCUCAUAGCUACUAUUGAGAACCUUGUUUUGAAAAUGAAUUAAAAGGCAUCUUUCCAGUUUAAAGCCUUAAGACCCUGGCCAAGCCUUGACUUUACCUAGACAGAAUGUUUGCCAACAGAUCCAGAUGUUUUUGCACCAAAUCAGAUUUUGAGUCAUUUUUUGACUUAGCAAUUUGACCCUAUUAAUACGACAGCUGGAUCAAUUUUGAAGUGGGCUUGGAGAAUCAUUUCUGGAGGUGGUUAUCCAAUCCUUCACUGAUUUUUUUUGCGUUCUGUUUGUUUGCAAACUAUGGGAUGCUGGUGCAGUGUUUUACUGGUUAAUAGUAGUUUUAUAUUUCAUAUGUUAUUAAUAAUGUUUAUGAUUUGAUUGAUUUUUAACUGCUAUAGGUUUUUAUUCAUUGUGUAUAUAGUUUCAUGUUAAUGUUGAUGUGUAUGACAGAAAUACAUCUCAUUUUUUUUUUUUUUAAAUGGGGAGAAUUGAUGCCCUAAAAGCAUUUGAUUAGUGUAAUACAUUAACUUCAGGGAGAGAAGUGUCUGUGUUUUGUUGAAAGUUUCAAAAAGGUCACCUGUUCAUCUGACCAGACUGUCUGCCUCUGAACAAAUGAGAUCCAGUGAACAGAGAAGUCACCACACAACCUUGAUACUCCAAAUAAGAUCGGAAGCGGACCUGUCAGAACACAGUUGUGUCUGAAAACUACACAGUUUACCAACAGAAAUUUUAUGUUGUUAUUAUGAUGUUGUGUCUCUACCAAUUUUUUUUCAGUUAUUCUCUGUUUUAAGAUUUAGAAGGAUCUGGAGAACAACCUAAACAUCGAUGCCUUCAGUCAGUCACCAAUCGGCUGCCAGCUGACAUCACGGGAGCAGCGGAUGUUCCAAGACUGAAUUGCAUUAAAUCAUUGUUUGUAAGAAGAAUUUUAUGGAAGAUCAAAAGAGUGUAGAAACUCCAUCUAACUGUAUAUAAAACAAAUUGUAGUUGUGUGUUUACCCUUUCAGCAAAUUGCUUUCACGCUUAGAUUGCAUGAAUACCAGAGCAUGUGUGUUAAAAGUAGUUAGAUAAUAGUUUAAGAUAAAUAGUUUAGCCUGUGUAGUAAUUCUUAUAUUAGUAUAAAGUGUAAGUAUUCCCCCUUCAAGAGUUAAAGUAAGCAUAUUUGAAAGUUCCUUUAAUGUUAAAGCCUUAGCUGUGAUUCUGCAAUCAUGGUGGUCAUUUGCAUGGAACGAACUGCUUAUGGUAAUUGUGCUGUGUAGUCCUAACUGUCUGCUAGCUAACAUCCAAAAGCGACAGAACAUAUGGAUCACUCUGGCACACUUGACAGGCCAAAAAUCAAUAUGUUUGAGCCUAGCCACACCUAGAGAUCCUUUUCACACCUGUUUCAUAGAAGUCCCUGAAUGGGAUCCUCAAGCAUUUAAAGGUUUGGUUAAUAACGAGACUUGACUGAAUCGAUUAGCAAUGUUGCAAGAGUGCAAUUGCACUAUUGGUCUCACAUCUAGACAACUUGAAGCCUGCUGGCAAGCAAAAAUUAUUGAAGUUCUCAAUGUUACCAUAGGGCCCCCAGAAGAAUUGGACUUGUUAGGUUCCACCAAUACCUCAGGUGGAUGGAUAAUGUUUGAGCCCCAACUGUCGCUCUAUUGGGAACAGCAAAAAGAACAACACAGACCCUCCCAUGAAGAAGUCGAACUGGAGAAAUUUCUCUUGGUUUAUUACCUCAGGUCUUUUUUAUAGACUGAUACGUGAAAAGUACAGAAAAGAAAACUCUUAUUGGUUAGUAAACUAACACAUCACCAUCAUUGGUCAGUGGGGUUCACCACCCCUCGCCCUUCUCUUGCAAGAAAACAAGGAACAGACAAACAGCACCUGCAAGGCUGCUUUCUAUCUCUGAGGAUUGUUUUAAUUCCUCCUUAUGAAUUCACAGGCCACUUUCCCAGGCAAGACUGAGAAAGCUAUGUGGCCUGCAACUUCCACAGGCACUGUGCUCUCUGUUUCAGAGUUAGCAUCCACACCCGACAGGGAGCCACUGCAAUGGGGUGGUGCAACACUGGGCUACAGUCAACCCUAUAGUUGAUCUCGUUACUCACACUGAAAGUAAAGCUUUUUAUUCUCACAGGAUGAUUACCAAAGCCAUUACCUAGUUCCAUAUUCCUAAUCUGUGGAGAUAGAGCAUGGAAUGGAAUUCCUGCUAAUUCACAUAGAGGAUCCUGUUAUCCUGGGAAACUUACUUUGUUCCAUCCAAGUUUACACCAAUUGCUGAAUGUAGCUGAUAAAAUAAAAAAAAUAAAAUAUAUCAAACGGUCAAAGCGAAGCCUAAAUGUAUUACAAUGUAAUGAUGUUAGAAACCCAGACUUUUGGAAUCAUGAUAUAAUAUAGGCAGCCUCCUUCUUUAUUCCAGGAGCAGCUGCUGCUAAAGGCUUAGCAACUCUAAAAAGGCUCGCUUGUUAGACUAAGAAAGAAUUGAACUUAACAUCCACAAUGUUAAGUGAACUCUCUGCUGAUGUGAGUAGUGUACAUCAUGUAGUAUUACAACAUCAAGCUGCAAUUGACUUUUUGCUCUUGGCACAAAGACAUGGUUGUGAGGAGUUUGAAGGCAUGUGCUGCUUGAAUCUUACUGAUCAUUCAGUUUCCAUCCGUAAGCAACUACAACAACUACAAGAUAGGUUACAUGCCGUGAAAGAAGAUAGUGACCCCAUUAGGUUGCCAGCUGAAGUAUCUAUCACUGGAUGGCUGAAAUCUCUUGUGCUAGAAGGAAGACAGAUUUUACUUAUAGUGUUAAUUGAAAUGAUGCUUUUAAGUUGUAUGUUAUCUUGUCUUCGCAAAAAUGUAGAAUGAGUCACAUCCAAAGCCUGGUUUGUCCAAAAAGAGAAAGGGGGAAUUGUAGGUGAUAUUUUAACAGAAGGUGGGCAUGAAAGGCCUGUCCGCACAAACCAGCUUCUGGAAUAAGUCGUGAUAUUAAAGACUAAAGUCCUUGAAACUUUCCUGCAAGAGAGAGAAUAAAGCAAAACAAUAUCCUUGUGUACAGGAGAAAAAAUGUAAACCUGUGUGUAUUAGCCAAUAGUAACUUGCUUAGCCUGCAGACCCUGUAAAACCCUAUAAAAGGUGUGCUAAAGAUAGAAAUAAACGGUGUUCACUCUUA